rnacentral:rRNA from 1 species
GACGAACGCUGGCGGCGUGCUUAACACAUGCAAGUCGAACGGAAAGGCCCUGCUUUUGUGGGGUGCUCGAGUGCCGAACGGGUGAGUAAAACGUGAGUAUCCUGCCCUUGACUUUGGGGUAACUUCAGGAAACUGGGGCUCAUACCGGAUAUGAGCUCCUGCUGCAUGGUGGUGGUUGGAAAGUUUCGGCGGUUGGGGCUGGACUCGCGGCUUAUCAGCUUGUUGGGGGGGUAGUGGUUGACGAAGGCUUUGACGGGUAGCCGGCAUGGGAGGGUGGCCGGGGACAUUGGGACUGAGAGACGGAGCAGACUCCUACGGUAGGCAGCGGUGGGGAGCCUGGCACAGUGGGGCCACGCCUGAGACAGCAGCGCUGGGAGCGGGAUGCCGGCUUUUGAGUUGUAAACCGCUUUGGCCGGUGACGAACCGAGAGUGACGGUACUUGGUAAAGAAGCACCGGCUAACUACGUG